GCCUCAGUUACGGCGAGUGAAGCGGCAAAAGCUCAAAUUUGAAAUCUGCGUAAGCCGAGUUGUAAUUUGAAGAUGGCUACUUUGGUAAUGGCUCUUGUCUAUGUUCCUUGGAACAGGACGUCACAGAGGGUGAGAAUCCCGUGCGAUGAGAUGUCCAUUACCGUGUAAAGUGCUUUCGAAGAGUCGAGUUGUUUGGGAAUGCAGCUCUAAGUGGGUGGUAAAUUCCAUCUAAAGCUAAAUAUUGGCGAGAGACCGAUAGCGAACAAGUACAGUGAUGGAAAGAUGAAAAGAACUUUGAAAAGAGAGUGAAAAAGUACGUGAAAUUGUUGAAAGGGAAGGGCUUGAGAUCAGACUUGGUAUUUUGUAUGGCUUGCUUUCGGGCGGGUCCUCUGCAGUUUACUGGGCCAGCAUCGGUUUGGGUGGCAGGAUAAUAGCAUAGGAAUGUGGCUCUACUUCGGUGGAGUGUUAUAGCCUUUGUUGAUACUGCCUGCCUAGACCGAGGACUGCGUCUUUUGACUAGGAUGCUGGCAUAAUGAUCCUAAGCCGCCCGUCUUGAAACACGGACCA
rnacentral:rRNA from 1 species